UAAUUUUACUGUUUUAAAAAGUAGGUUAAAAAAUCUAUUUUUGCAUGCCAUGAAGGAAGGAUUUUGAUCAAGGAUUUUCAAGAGGAUGUUCCUUCCUCCAUCACACUAAUUUUAAACACGGUCGAAACUAGGAAGAAGUCGAUCCAUGUCUUUUAAUUUAAUUUAGAAAGUUACCGUGAAUGGCAGCUUCAACAAGUGGAUAACGUGUUCAAAAUUUUUCUCAACUGGGAUUCAAGAUAACGGUUUACUAAUGAAAACCAGCAUUAUAUCAAACGGUGCAAUGACAAGGAAGAAGACCGAGGAGAUUAUAGUGUUUAUAUGCCUUGUUGUCGCCGGCAUAUCACCUGCAGGUAUAUGCGGAACAAAAUAUAUUUGGGACCACUCGAGCUGAUAUUUUUUCAAAUCUUUAUUUCCCAGAUCCUAUUCGUUAAGAAUUUUUAUAUAAACAAAUAA